ACGAACGCUGGCGGCGUGCUUAACACAUGCAAGUCGAACGGAAAGGCCCUGCUUUUGUGGGGUGCUCGAGUGGCGAACGGGUGAGUAACACGUGAGUAACCUACCCUUGACUUUGGGAUAACUUCAGGAAACUGGGGCUAAUACCGGAUAGGAGCUCCUGCUGCAUGGUGGGGGUUGGAAAGUUUCGGCGGUUGGGGAUGGACUCGCGGCUUAUCAGCUUGUUGGUGGGGUAGUGGCUUACCAAGGCUUUGACGGGUAGCCGGCCUGAGAGGGUGACCGGCCACAUUGGGACUGAGAUACGGCCCAGACUCCUACGGGAGGCAGCAGUGGGGAAUAUUGCACAAUGGGCGGAAGCCUGAUGCAGCAACGCCGCGUGCGGGAUGACGGCCUUCGGGUUGUAAACCGCUUUCGCCUGUGACGAAGCGUGAGUGACGGUAAUGGGUAAAGAAGCACCGGCUAACUACGUG
rnacentral:rRNA from 1 species